rnacentral:rRNA from 1 species
AGCUCCAAUAGCGUAUAUUAAAGUUGUUGCGGUUAAAAAGCUCGUAGUUGGAUUUCUGCUGAGGACGAUCGGUCCGCCCUCUGGGUGUGUAUCUGGCUCGGCCUUGGCAUCUUCUUGGGGAAUGAUACUGCACUUGACUGUGUGGUUCAGAAUCCAGGACUUUUACUUUGAGGAAAUUAGAGUGUUUCAAGCAGGCACACGCCUUGAAUAUAUUAGCAUGGAAUAAUAAGAUAGGACCUUGGUUCUAUUUUGUUGGUUUCUAGAGCUGAGGUAAUGAUUAAUAGGGAUUGUUGGGGGCAUUCGUAUUUAACGCUCAGAGGUGAAAUUCUUGGAUUUGUUAAAGACGGACUACUGCGAAAGCAUUUGCCAAGUAUGUUUUCA